UUUAAGAUAAGAUGGUUUUAUAAUUAAUUUUCCAGUUGCACAUGCGGUGCACACAAAAUCUGAUGAUUUUGGGAAAAUUUUAGUUGGAAGGCUGUGACCAAUAGAAUUGUCAAUAAUUUUUCUCAUCAUCCCUAUGCCACGAUGACCUAGGCGAUCAUGCCAAGUCUUGAAUUUAUCAAGGUCUUGAAAAAUUAUUUUGUACGCAACAUGUGAUACGGGCUUUAUAUAACUGUAAUAUAAUCCAGAUGAAAGUGAGG
rnacentral:lncRNA from 1 species